rnacentral:tRNA from 1 species
GGCAACUUGGCCGAGUGGUUAAGGCGACGCACUCAAGGACUCAUCCUUCGCUCUGAUACAGAGCGUGCAUUGCGUUCUCGAAAGGGGCGUGAGUUCGAAUCUCACAGUUGUCA